UGGACUUCCCAAGCACUUAGUACAGUGCUCUGCACACGAGGUGUUAAACAAUCCCCAGAGACAGAGCAAAGCCAGAAGAAUCCUCAAAAACGCAAAAAGCCCCGGAGAACCUGUGAGAAGAGAUUUCUCAUGUCUGCCUGGCAGCAGGUACGGAUGCUUUACCCUGAAGUUGCAAUGUUGGGAGGCCGUGUGAAGCCAGACGUUCCGGUCUGAGCCCCGUUUCAGCCCUCCGUCUGACGAAGCCAUCUCGAGAACCCGGGCCGUGGAUCUGGAAGUGGACCAAGUGAGCAAGGGAGAGUCGUAUCAGUUUGUCGGCACUCGGACCACCUUCACGCCCUCCCGUUUCUGAACCCAAUCCUUCCCUCAGAGGACCCUCAGGCAGCCUGUUUCAGGCACUCAAACGGAAGACCAAAAAGUUGCGGGAAUCCGGGCCCCUGCGGAGGAAGGCACCGAGCUAGAAGCUUCCUCUUCUUUGGACCAAAAGGAAUCGACCCGGAGUAAUGCGGAUCCUCCCCUGACUCUUCCCUUCCCCGCUCCACGAUAUUUCCUCCCAAUUUUUCCCAGGCCUCGUAUACAUUCCGAGCCUCUGCCUGACACCGUGUCCUUCUGCCCCCCAGCACUGGUCUUCUGGAAGGGGUUGGCGCUUUCCCUCGGAGUGGACAUCGUGGGCCCCGGUACAUUCUGGGUGGGGUGCCUCAGGAUGUCCCUCUGGCCUCUCGCCUAGCGGCCCCUUCCCCUCUGGGAGCCGGGCACUCCCUCC